AUACACGGUUCUGCAGCAACGCGCGGUGCAUCAUUUAGUUUCUGUUAAAGUUAAAACCCUUGGAGAUAUAGGGUUUUUUCCAGCAUCUUUUGAAAGUGUGUCUUGCUCCAUUUUGUUGUAUAGAAAAUUGACACGCUAUUCAAUUCGUUAUUUCCACUUACCAAAUUUAGGUGAUUGAAUGCAUAAUUUACAGGUCUGUGGGUUGAAAUGGUCCCAUGCGGCUGCGGCACUGCAAAGCCGAGGACCUCUCGUGCGAUUCUUCGAGAUUUGGUGUACAAUGGUUGGUCCGUGGGCGGUAAACUGCGGGAUUCUGCUCGAGCCCAAGCCUAGGCUGGCCCGGUCUGCUUGAUGGGCUUGGUUCGUUUUCGAUUUAUCUGUGGGCUGGGCCUUCAGAUACCAAACAAGUCACGAGCCGCCGUAGCCCUUCCGUUCCACGAUGAGAGUUGCUCUCAAAAAAAAAACGAGAUGACACGAUGAGCUGAGACUCGUUCCCUAAUGGCCGUAGAACAGCAGAAUCCAACUGCUCUGUAUGAAAUCAAGAGAGCUUUUUUUUUUUUUUUGCGUAGAGUAACACUGUGUUUGAGUGGCUAUUUAGUUUCAUACCCUUGGACUCGUGGUUACCUUUCCGUUCCCACCCAAUACGCCGAUUGUGUUGUGCAACCUCUGCCGGCUGGCCGGUCCCGGAGUUGCACACCAAGAUCGUAGUCGAAGGAGUCGAUCACACACACAAUCAUGAAGUACAGUAAAGUAGAUGAACACCAAGAAAUAGAGAAUAUGAGCUCUUUAUUAAUUUCUGAUCUCAACAGUACGUAGAAGGUUAGCCUCCUCUCCUUUGUAUAGACUAGAUGGCUCAACUGGAUCAAAGAGAUAAGACCCAAAACUUAACGUUAGUGGGGGAAC
rnacentral:lncRNA from 1 species